rnacentral:rRNA from 2 species
CACGAAAGUUCUUCUGUUUUAAAAAAACACUCAAGGAAAUUGAAUUUGUAGUGAAGAUGCUACAUUAAAAUGGUUAGACGAGAAGUCCCCAUGGAGCUUUACUGAAAGCCCAAAAGAAACUUCUUUAUGGGCUAGACAGUUUUGUUGGGGUGAUAGUUUUUUAAAAAGUAACGAAAACGAACUAUGACGCAGGUUUCACUCUGAAAACUUGAAGAGACAUUUGGGGUGUGUUUUAUGAUCUAUUGUUUUGAAUGAAAAAGAUAAUGAAAGCAGAUAAAAGUUACCCUGGGGAA